UACGUAGGGUGCAAGCGUUGUCCGGAAUUAUUGGGCGUAAAGAGCUCGUAGGCGGUCUGUCGCGUCGGCUGUGAAAACCCGAGGCUCAACCUCGGGCCUGCAGUCGAUACGGGCAAACUAGAGUACUGCAGGGGAGACUGGAAUUCCUGGUGUAGCGGUGAAAUGCGCAGAUAUCAGGAGGAACACCGGUGGCGAAGGCGACUUUCUGGGCUGUAACUGACGCUGAGGCGCGAAAGCGUGGGGAGCAAACAGG
rnacentral:rRNA from 1 species